AUCAAAAGAAUGGAUCAACACUGUUAGUUGAGUACCCACAUCACAAACGUGAUUCUCAGAAUGCUUCUGUCUAAUUUCUGUUGGUAGAUAUUUCCUUUUUCAGCAUAGGCCUGAAAGCGCUCCAAAUGCCCGCUUCCAGACACUAUAAAAAGAGGGUUUCAAACCUACUCUAUGAAACGGAAUGUUCAACUCUGAGAGCUGGAUGCAAACAUCACAAAGAAGUUUCUGAGAAUGCUGCUGUCUACUUUUGAUAUAUAAUCCCGUUGCCAGCGAAAUCCUCAAAUCUAUCCAAAUAUCCACUUGCAGAUUCCAAAAGAAGAGUGUCUCAAAACUGCUCUAUCAAUAGAGAUGUU
rnacentral:lncRNA from 1 species